rnacentral:tRNA from 1 species
GGGCGGUUAGCUCAGUGGUAGAGUGCGUCGUUGACAUCGACGAGGCCAGAAGUUCAAUCCUUCUACCGCCCA